rnacentral:tRNA from 1 species
GGGGUUGUGGCUCAGUGGUAGAGCGCUCGCCAAACAUGUGAGAGGCGCUGGGUUCGAUCCUCAGCACCACA